GAGUUUGAUCAUGGUUCAGAGCGAACGCUGGCGGCAUGCUUAACACAUGCAAGUCGCACGGUCAGCAAUGGCAGUGGCGGACGGGUGAGUAACACGUAGGAAUCUAUCUCUGGGUGGGGGACAACCGUGGGAAACUACGGCUAAUACCGCAUGAUACCUGAGGGUCAAAGGCGUAAGUCGCCUGGAGAGGAGCCUGCGUCUGAUUAGCUUGUUGGUGGGGUAAAGGCUUACCAAGGCGACGAUCAGUAGCUGGUCUGAGAGGAUGAUCAGCCACAUUGGGGCUGAGACACGGCCCAAACUCCUACGGGAGGCAGCAGUGGGGAAUAUUGGACAAUGGGGGCAACCCUGAUCCAGCAAUGCCGCGUGUGUGAAGAAGGUCUUCGGAUUGUAAAGCACUUUUGGCAGGGACGAUGAUGACGGUACCUGCAGAAUAAGCCCCGGCUAACUUCGUGCCAGCAGCCGCGGUAAUACGAAGGGGGCUAGCGUUGCUCGGAAUGACUGGGCGUAAAGGGCGCGUAGGCGGCACAUACAGUCAGAUGUGAAAUUCCUGGGCUCAACCUGGGGACUGCAUUUGAUACGUGUGAGCUAGAGUGGAGAAGAGGGUUGUGGAAUUUCCAGUGUAGAGGUGAAAUUCGUAGAUAUUGGAAAGAACACCGGUGGCGAAGCGGCAACCUGGUCUUUAACUGACG
rnacentral:rRNA from 1 species